rnacentral:tRNA from 1 species
GCCCGGAUGGUGGAACUGGUAGACACGCAGGACUUAAAAUCCUGUGACCAUUGCGGUCGUGCGGGUUCAAGUCCCGCUCCGGGUACUA